AACAACAGGAGCUCCUCGCAAACACAGAGCCCGCCGGCCUGCGUGCGGGGCUGACGGUCCGGACAGCUGCCCGGCUUGCGCACAGCUAGGCGCUCGGCGGAAAAAAAAAAAAAAAGUUUCUUUCACUCACACCCGCCUCCGAUCUCCGAGCUGGCAGGACGCAGGCUGGCCGGGUUCCCUCCCGACCGGGAAAAAGAGUUCUCCACCCGCCGCUCGUCUGCUGCCCGAUCUGGGGGAGCGACGUCGCCGCCCGACAGGCCAGCCGAGGCGCUCCGGUGCGGUCCCCGCUAAAGGGAGCGCGCGCUCCGCUCUGCAGGGAACUGGACGCAGAAAGAAGUGAUGGGACCAGAUAACUCAGCUGCAACUCGCCCAGAAAUCCAGAAGAGAAAACUAACUCGUUAAACUAUCGGUUGCCUACUUGGAAAGUGUGAAACCUCCUCUCCUUGUCGUCGUGGGUCCCCGGAAAUGUGCAGAGAAUGGCAGAGGCUGAGAAGAGUUCACCGACUCCUCACCCCACUCGGAUCUUUGCUGUGUCCUUGGGGAGGUAACUCAGAACAGGGCCCUGCCUGCCCUUCAUCCCCCGCCCAAGCCAGAGAGGCUGCUGGGGCCCAACUCCAGGACUUGUCUCAUUGAUGCUCACCCUGGUUUUCUUCUGCUCUCCCCGUGGCUGGAGCAGAGGAUUUCAGCUCCACCUCCUGAAACGGAACUGAAAGUCAUGCUCCAGCUGAGAACCGACCCAGAGGACGCGUUUGCAAGCGGCCCAGCUCCAGAAUGAUACCCUAAGUGUUUCUGGGAAUCGGGGUGCCUGUUCACAAACUUUAAUCAAUAUAUCUGAGCCGGAUUCCUUUGAAAUCUCCAGUGAAGGCCUUGUGUCUUCAUUAUCACCAUCGCCUGGCCGGGGAGAGCGAUUAGAGCCUUAUCAGUUCAUGCACAAUUGGUAAAAAAAAAAAAAAAAAAGUCCCAUCAUGCCAGUAGCCACCAACUUCAAAUCUGUGAUCUUCGUGCCAAGGGACGAGGUUGGCACCGUGCCUAGAGUGUGGCACCAGGCUGAGAGGGAUGUCGGUCUCUCAGCCACGCAGCCCUGCCCUCGCCUCCCAUGACCUUCCGAAGAGAAGCAGCAAGUUAAAGUCUGCCAAUCCCAGUGCCUCACAAGACGAGGCGUGUGGACCACGAGGUGCUGGGUGAUGAUCUGUCUGCUUCUGAAACAGCCCGAAAGGACCACACACUCUGGU